GUGUGCAGUGUGAAGUGCAGCUGGUGGAGUCUGGGGGAGGCUUGGUGCAGCCUGGGGGGUCCCUGAGACUCUCUUGUGAAGCCUCUGGAUUCACCUUCAGUGAUUACUGGAUGUACUGGGUCCGCCAGGCUCCAGGGAAAGGGCUGGAGUGGUUUGUCUUCUCCCUGGAACUCUCUGCCAGCACAGCACAUCUGCAGAUCAGCAGCAGCCUGAAGGCCGAGGACAUGGCUGUGUACGGCUGUGCAAGGCACAGUGUGGAAACCACAUCCAGAAGGUGUGCAGUGUGA